GACGAACGCUGGCGGCGUGCUUAACACAUGCAAGUCGAACGGAAAGGCCCUGCUUUUGUGGGGUGCUCGAGUGGCGAACGGGUGAGUAACACGUGAGUAACCUGCCCUUGACUUUGGGAUAACUUCAGGAAACUGGGGCUAAUACCGGAUAGGAGCUCCUGCUGCAUGGUGGGGGUUGGAAAGUUUCGGCGGUUGGGGAUGGACUCGCGGCUUAUCAGCUUGUUGGUGGGGUAGUGGCUUACCAGGGCUUUGACGGGUAGCCGGCCUGAGAGGGUGACCGGCCACAUUGGGACUGAGAUACGGCGCAGAAUCCUACGGGCGGCAGCAGUGGGGAAUAUUGCACAAUGGGCGGAAGCCUGAUGCAGCAACGCCGCGUGCGGGAUGACGGCCUUCGGGUUGUAAACCGCUUUCGAAUGUGACGAAGCGUGAGUGACGGUAAUGGGUAAAGAAGCACCGGCUAACUACGUG
rnacentral:rRNA from 1 species